GAUCCUGGCUCAGAAUCAACGCUGGCGGCGCGCUUAACACAUGCAAGUCGAACGAGAAAGGGGAGCAAUCCCCGAGUAAAGUGGCGUACGGGUGAGUAACACGUGGGUAAUCUGCCUCUGGGUGGGGAAUAACUCUGGGAAACCGGAGCUAAUACCGCAUAAGACCGGAAGGUGAAAGGUGAAAAUCGCCGAGAGAGGAGCCCGCGGCUGAUUAGCUAGUUGGUGGGGUAAAGGCUCACCAAGGCAGAGAUCAGUAGCCGGCCUGAGAGGGCACACGGCCACACUGGCACUGAAACACGGGCCAGACUCCUACGGGAGGCAGCAGUGGGGAAUCUUGCACAAUGGGGGAAACCCUGAUGCAGCGACGCCGCGUGAGCGAUGAAGCCCUUCGGGGUGUAAAGCUCUUUCGGCAGGGACGAUAAUGACGGUACCUGAAGAAGAAGCUGCGGCUAACUACGUGCCAGCAGCCGCGGUAAUACGUAGGCAGCGAGCGUUGUUCGGAGUUACUGGGCGUAAAGCGUGCGUAGGCGGUGGCCCAAGUCUGGUGUGAAAUCUCCCGGCUUAACCGGGAGGGUGCGCCGGAAACUGGGCUGCUGGAGUACGGGAGAGGCAAGCGGAAUUCCUGGUGUAGCGGUGAAAUGCGUAGAUAUCAGGAGGAACACCCGUGGUGCAGACGGCUUGCUGGACCGU
rnacentral:rRNA from 1 species